rnacentral:rRNA from 1 species
GACGUAGGGCGCGAGCGUUGUCCGGAUUUACUGGGCGUAAAGGGCGCGCAGGCGGCCGCUCAAGUCAGGCGUGAAAGCCCCGGGCUUAACCUGGGAACUGCGUCUGGGACUGAGUGGCUAGAGUUCGGGAGAGGAGAGUGGAAUUCCCAGUGUAGAGGUGAAAUUCGUAGAUAUUGGGAAGAACACCAGUGGCGAAGGCGGCUCUCUGGACCGAGACUGGCGCUGAGGCGCGAAAGCGUGGGGAGCAAACAGG